GAUGAACGCUGGCGGCGUGCCUAAUACAUGCAAGUCGAGCGAACGGACGAGAAGCUUGCUUCUCUGAUUUUAGCGGCGGACGGGUUAGUAACACGUGGAUAACCUACCUAUAAGACUGGGAUAACUUCGGGAAACCGGAGCUAAUACCGGAUGAUAUUUUGAACCGCAUGGUUCAAAAGUGAAAGUCGGUCUUUCUGUCACUUAUAGAUGGAUCCGCGCUGCAUUAGCUAGUUGGUAAUGUAACGGCUUACCAAGGCAACGAUGCAUAGCCGACCUGAGAGGGUGAUCGGCCACACUGGAACUGAGACACGGUCCAGACUCCUACGGGAGGCAGCAGUAGGGAAUCUUCCGCAAUGGGCGAAAGCCUGACGGAGCAACGCCGCGUGAGUGAUGAAGGUCUUCGGAUCGUAAAACUCUGUUAUUAGGGAAGAACAUAUGUGUAAGUAACUGUGCACAUCUUGACGGUACCUAAUCAGAAAGCCACGGCUAACUACGUG
rnacentral:rRNA from 1 species